GCCUUAUAGCUCAGUUGGUAAAGUCCUUGCUCAAAGCAAUUUUACUGAGGUCUAGAGUUCAAUUCUCUCUGGUUGCG